GACGAACGCUGGCGGCGUGCUUAACACAUGCAAGUCGUACGGUAAGGCCCUUUCGGGGGUACACGAGUGGCGAACGGGUGAGUAACACGUGAGUAACCUGCCCACAACUUUGGGAUAACGCUAGGAAACUGGUGCUAAUACUGGAUAUGUGCUCCUGCUGCAUGGUGGGGGUUGGAAAGCUCCGGCGGUUGUGGAUGGACUCGCGGCCUAUCAGCUUGUUGGUGGGGUAGUGGCCUACCAAGGCGGCGACGGGUAGCCGGCCUGAGAGGGUGACCGGCCACAUUGGGACAGAGAUACGGCCCAGACUCAUACGGGGGGAAGCAGUGGAGAAUAUUGCACAAUGGGCGGAAGCCGGAUGCAGCAACGCCGCGUGCGGGAUGACGGCCUUCGGGUUGUAAACCGCUUUCAGCAGGGACGAAGCUUUUUGUGACGGUACCUGCAGAAGAAGCACCGGCUAACUACG
rnacentral:rRNA from 1 species